rnacentral:lncRNA from 10 species
GUUUUCUCAGGAUGAAUUGACCAAAAGGUUCAGUGUAGUACACACUUUCGCUCUGUGGGCACUUAGCAAAUACUUAUUAACUAAUUGGCUACAAUUCCUCGUCUACUGGUGGGAAAAUGGGGAGGUAAAAUAAAUUAGCUAGACCUCCAUGCUUCCUUAGUCACCCAAAGGAAGAGUUAUUAGUGGCUACAUACAGUGACUAAAAAUAGACAUCUGGUCAGGAAAAUCUGAAGAGAGAGAGACUAUCGGGGCUGCUUUUGGUAAACAGUUACACAGGAUACUUCACAAGAUACGUGAAGAGAGUCUUUGAGGUAAAAUCAAAUCCCUAUUAGGAUAAAUGAUUGAGUGUUCCUGUAAAGAAUUGUUCCCCUGGUUCAAGCAACCAGAUUUCAUUCCCAGAUGAUCAAAAAUGGACUUGAUGAAAUGGAAAAGCACUGAUAGAAACAGAAUGCUGUCAUUAUUCCCAGUUCACAGAUGGGGAGGUAAAAACCCAGAGCUUAAUAGCAUGUCCAAGAUCACAUAACUAUUCCACUGCUCAAAAUUACUCCUGAAGGGAUGAGGACACCAGGAUAUGCCACCGGACCACUGAAGGAAUGGUGAUGGUAUGAAGAAAGUAUUUUUAAUGAGCAGAGCCAUUGUUUGCUCUGCUCUGUCCUCACCCCUCAAGAGAAUUUCCCUUAUUAUUAUGAAAACUUUUUAUCUUAAAAGAUAUUACAUGUUAAUGGAACUGUCGUUUAACAAAUGUUUUAUAAGUGUACCAAUCAAGCACAUUGUCGAAAUAAAAGAUAUGAAAUAAGUGAAAAAAA